UGUUGGAAAUUCUCUUCCAGCCGAUGUUGGUCAUUGUAGAGAUGAGCAUUGUAACUGUUUAUCUUGUGAAAUAGUCAGCUACUUUGAUCGACAUAUGUAGUAUGCAUUCGUGUAAUGCCCAAUUUUCCGGCAGUUCUAAAGUGCUGAAUGUUGUCCUGAGGAAAUUAACCAUUUGCUGUUUUACAUGUACACAAGGUAUCUGAAUAUAGACACUGGUUCUUUGGGGAGGUUUUGUGCAGAUGUACGCACUGGUUUCUGUCAAUAAUUAUUAACUUUCCUUUUA